rnacentral:rRNA from 1 species
AACGAACGCUGGCGGCAUGCCUAAUACAUGUAAGUCGAACGAGAUCUUCGGAUCUAGUGGCGCACGGGUGCGUAACGCGUGGGAAUCUGCCCUUGGGUUCGGAAUAACUUCUGGAAACGGAAGCUAAUACCGGAUGAUGACGUAAGUCCAAAGAUUUAUCGCCCAAGGAUGAGCCCGCGUAGGAUUAGGUAGUUGGUGAGGUAAAGGCUCACCAAGCCGACGAUCCUUAGCUGGUCUGAGAGGAUGAUCAGCCACACUGGGACUGAGACACGGCCCAGACUCCUACGGGAGGCAGCAGUAGGGAAUAUUGGACAAUGGGCGAAAGCCUGAUCCAGCAAUGCCGCGUGAGUGAUGAAGGCCUUAGGGUUGUAAAGCUCUUUUACCCGGGAUGAUAAUGACAGUACCGGGAGAAUAAGCUCCGGCUAACUCCGUG